UACAGAGGGGGCAAGCGUUAUUCGGAAUUAUUGGGCGUAAAGGGCGCGUAGGCGGCCCUCUAAGUCGAACGUGAAAUCCCUGGGCUCAACCCAGGAACUGCGUCCGAGACUGGGGGGCUCGAAUCCGGGAGAGGGAUGUGGAAUUCCAGGUGUAGCGGUGAAAUGCGUAGAUAUCUGGAGGAACAUCGGUGGCGAAGGCGGCAUCCUGGACCGGUAUUGACGCUGAGGCGCGAAAGCCAGGGGAGCAAAGCGGG
rnacentral:rRNA from 1 species